rnacentral:rRNA from 1 species
UAGGGAAUCUUCCGCAAUGGGCGAAAGCCUGACGGAGCAACGCCGCGAGAGUGAUGAAGGUCUUCGGAUCGUAAAACUCUGUUAUUAGGGAAGAACAAAAGUGUAAGGAACUAUGCACGUCUUGACGGUACCUAACCAGAAAGCCACGGCUAACUACGUGCCAGCAGCCGCGGUAAUACGUAGGUGGCAAGCGUUAUCCGGAAUUAUUGGGCGUAAAGCGCGCGUAGGCGGUUUUUUAAGUCUGAUGUGAAAGCCCACGGCUCAACCGUGGAGGGUCAUUGGAAACUGGAAAACUUGAGUGCAGAAGAGGAAAGUGGAAUUCCAUGUGUAGCGGUGAAAUGCGCAGAGAUAUGGAGGAACACCAGUGGCGAAGGCGACUUUCUGGUCUGUAACUGACGCUGAUGUGCGAAAGCGUGGGGAUCAAACAGG